CAAAAAUAAAAGAAUUAAAAUAAAUAAAAUAUAGUUUAAAAUUAUCGUAAACGUGGUACAAUUAAAGCGCGAUUAACACUAUUUAAAGAUUUUCUCUUGGUUAUUGAACAAAUUGAAACCGAUAGCAUCCCGACUGGUGAGGUCACAAGGUUUAGUUUCGCUUAGCAGAGUCGCCGAACAUUCCAGGUUGGGCGUGCUCAUUUUCCGCUCCGCUCGUCGCUACGCUCGUCGCUCCGCGCCACUCGGUACGACCCUUACCCGCGGCCAGGACGCUGUGGAUUUUGCAGGAUUUUGGUUGGGCGUGCUCAUUGUCCGCUGCGCUCGUCGCUCCGCUCGUCGCUCCGCUCGUCGCUCCGCGCCACUCGGUACGACCCUUACCCGCGGCCAGGACGCUGUGGAUUUUGCAGGAUUUUGGUUUGAUUGCACAACAUCUUUAUAUUUUUAUCAUUUACAAAUCGAUCAUGGCUCAGAGUAAAGUAUCGGACCGGGACGAACUGGCUUUGUUAGUUGGUAAAUGUGGUACAAUUAAAGCGCGAUUAACACUAUUUAAAGAUUUUCUCUUGGUUAUUGAACAAAUUGAAACCGAUAGCAUCCCGACUGGUGAGGUCACAAGGUUUAGUUUCGCUUAGCAGAGUCGCCGAACAUUCCAGGUUGGGCGUGCUCAUUGUCCGCUGCGCUCGUCGCUCCGCUCGUCGCUCCGCGCCACUCGGUACGACCCUUACCCGCGGCCAGGACGCUGUGGAUUUUGCAGGAUUUUGGUUU